rnacentral:lncRNA from 1 species
UUUUGGGUUGGGCUUUCCCGUUUGGUUUAUAACAUUGGUGCUUUCAUUGAGAUCCAUGACCAACGAGGAGCUUGUGACUCGGAGUGGUGGCCUGGACCCGAGGACCCAGGAGGGGUGCCAGCUGUGACUAACGAGGUCGUUGGUUCUCAAGCGGAGAUCGUUGAUUCUCAAGCGGAGACAUUGGAAAAAAAAAGAAAUGCUAAGGGGUUUAUACGCCAAAUGGGUUCUCCCACCUGUUAAAUUAGUGUUGGGCUGGAAAUGAAAAAUGAAAUCUUUAAAACUAUGAUAUGCCAACAACAACAUUGAAGGACUACAAAAGGAAACUAAAAUGAUAAAAUUAGUCCUUUUUAGUUGGUGCUUGGUUUCUCAAUUAUUUGGCAGCACUAGUAAAGAAACAAUAUCAAAAUGAGCUUUAGUAGAAGCAAAUGAAUGGAAGUAAGUUUUUGGCACAUCUAUACUAAAUUAAACAUAUUUAGUUUAGCUAGCUAUUGCUACUAAACAGUUAAUUGGUUAAGGAGUUGCCUUUUACGGGAGCUUGUGACUCGGAGUGGUGGACUGGACCCGAGGGGCGCCAGGUGUGACCAACGAGGAACAAACCACGUGUGGAGCCGCGUCUCGGAGUGGUGGCCUGUGUGUCAGUAGUGGUGGCCUGGACCAGGAGGGGUGCCAGCUGUUACUAACGAGGUCGUUGGUUCUCAAGGGAAGACAUUGAAAAAAAAGAGAAAUGCUAAGGGGUUUAUACGCCAAAUGGGUUCUCCCACCUAUUAGAUUAGUCUUUUGGGUUGGGCUGGAAAUGAAAAAUGAAAUCU